rnacentral:rRNA from 1 species
UGGGGAAUAUUGCACAAUGGGCGAAAGCCUGAUGCAGCAACGCCGCGUGAGUGAUGAAGGCCUUCGGGUUGUAAAGCUCUGUCUUUUGGGACGAUAAUGACGGUACCAAAGGAGGAAGCCACGGCUAACUACGUGCCAGCAGCCGCGGUAAUACGUAGGUGGCAAGCGUUGUCCGGAUUUACUGGGCGUAAAGGAUGCGUAGGCGGAUUUUUAAGUGAGAUGUGAAAAACCCUAAGCUUAACUUGGGGACUGCAUUUCAUACUGGAAAUCUAGAGUGCGGGAGAGGAGAAAUGGAAUUCCUAGUGUAGCGGUGAAAAUGCGUAGAGAUUAGGAAGAAACACCAGUGGCGAAGGCGAUUCUCUGGACCGUAAACUGACGCUGAGGCAUGAAAAGCGUGGGGUAGCAAAACAGGAUUAGAUACCCUGGUAGUCCACGCCGUAAAACGAUGAGUACUAGGUGUAGGAGGUAUCGACCCCUUCUGUGCCGCAGUU